AGUGAACGCUGGCGGUAGGCCUAACACAUGCAAGUCGAACGGCAGCACAGUAAGAGCUUGCUCUUACGGGUGGCGAGUGGCGGACGGGUGAGGCAUACAUCGGAAUCUACUUUUUCGUGGGGGAUAACGUAGGGAAACUUACGCUAAUACCGCAUACGACCUACGGGUGAAAUCAGGGGAUCUUCGGACCUUGCGCGAUUGAAUGAGUCGAUGUCGGAUUAGCUAGUUGGCGGGGUAAAGGACCACCAAGGCGACGAUCCGUAGCUGGUCUGAGAGGAUGAUCAGCCACACUGGAACUGAGACACGGUCCAGACUCCUACGGGAGGCAGCAGUGGGGAAUCUUGGACAAUGGGCGAAAGCCUGAUCCAGCCAUACCGCGUGGGUGAAGAAGGCCUUCGGGUUGUAAAGCCCUUUUGUUGGGAAAGAAAAGCAGCAGGUUAAUACCCCGCUGUUCUGACGGUACCCAAAGAAUAAGCACCGGCUAACUUCGUG
rnacentral:rRNA from 1 species